CGAAAACGAAUUCUCUCUUGAGUGGAUCCUGAGUACGACGGAGCACGUGAAAUUCCGUCGGAAUCUGGGAGGACCAUCUCCUAAGGCUAAAUACUCUCUAGUGACCGAUAGUGAACCAGUACCGUGAGGGAAAGGUGAAAAGUACCCCGGAAGGGGAGUGAAAGAGAACUUGAAACCGUGUGCUUACAAGUAGUCAGAGCCCGUUAAUGGGUGAUGGCGUGCCUUUUGUAGAAUGAACCGGCGAGUUACGAUCUGAUGCAAGGUUAAGCAGAAAAUGUGGAGCCGUAGCGAAAGCGAGUCUGAAUAGGGCGAAUGAGUAUUUGGUCGUAGACCCGAAACCAGGUGAUCUACCCUUGGUCAGGUUGAAGUUCAGGUAACACUGAAUGGAGGACCGAACCGACUUACGUUGAAAAGUGAGCGGAUGAACUGAGGGUAGCGGAGAAAUUCCAAUCGAACUUGGAGAUAGCUGGUUCUCUCCGAAAUAGCUUUAGGGCUAGCCUCAAGUGAUGAUUAUUGGAGGUAGAGCACUGUUUGGACGAGGGGCCCCUCUCGGGUUACCGAAUUCAGACAAACUCCGAAUGCCAAAUAAUUUAACUUGGGAGUCAGAAUGUGGGUGAUAAGGUCCAUAUUCGAAAGGGAAACAGCCCAGACCACCAGCUAAGGUCCCAAAAUAUAUGUUAAGUGGAAAAGGAUGUGGCGUUGCCCAGACAACUAGGAUGUUGGCUUAGAAGCAGCCAUCAUUUAAAGAGUGCGUAAUAGCUCACUAGUCGAGUGACACUGCGCCGAAAAUGUACCGGGGCUAAACAUAUUACCGAAGCUGUGGAUUGUCCUUUGGACAAUGGUAGGAGAGCGUUCUAAGGGCGUUGAAGCAUGAUCGCAAGGACAUGUGGAGCGCUUAGAAGUGAGAAUGCCGGUGUGAGUA
rnacentral:rRNA from 1 species